rnacentral:rRNA from 1 species
UACGGAGGGGGCGAGCGUUAUUCGGAAUUAUUGGGCGUAAAGGGCGCGUAGGCGGCUUCGUAAGUCAAAGGUGAAAUCCCUCGGCUCAACUGAGGAGCUGCCUUUGAAACUGUGAGGCUUGAGGCCGGGAGGGGGUAGCGGAAUUCCCAGUGUAGCGGUGAAAUGCGUAGAUAUUGGGAGGAACACCAGUGGCGAAGGCGGCUACCUGGACCGGUUCUGACGCUGAGGCGCGAAAGCGUGGGGAGCAAACAGG